CCUGGAUCUACCCAGGAGCGGUUCAGAGGGUCCGGGAUCCAUUUGAGGGGUCCAGGAUCCAUUUGGGGGGUCCGGGAUCCAUUUGGGGGGUCCAGGAUCCACUUGGGGGGGUCCCAGAUCCAUCCAGGAGCAGUUCAGAGGGUCCGGGAUCCAUUUGGGGGGUCCGGGAUCCAUUCGAGGGGUCCCAGAUCCAUCUGGGGGGUCCCGGAUCCACCCAGGAGCGGUUCAGGGGG